CUGCUGCCUUGUGAAGAAAGUGCUUGCUUCUCCUUACGCCAUGAUUAUGAGUUUCCUGAGGCCUUCCCAGCUUGCAGAACUGAAAAGAAGAGGAGGGCUCCUCUGAGACCUAAUAGGAUGCAUUUCCCAGCUGAGCCCAGGUGUGCGCUGCUCAUGGGGCAUCCUGAGGGUGCGGGGAGGGUUUGAAGGGCAAAUGUGUCAGUGCGCUUCUGGGACUCCGCUCCAAGCCAGACACCCAAAGGCAGGGCUGGGGACUCAGACUACCCAUGAGGAUGAAGCCCAGCUGGGAAAUCCAGGUGCUUCACCUCCUCAGAACUCCUUCCAGGGACGCGGGGACAAGGCGAUGCAGCCCCCUUCCCGUUGUCUGGACUCCAGCAGGUGCAGAGUGAGCACGCUGGUUGGAAGUGCUUGACAGCAAGCUGUCGCCUGGGCUUCUCUUCCAGGGGCCCGGCAGUGCCCCAACCCUCCAGCAGGCGCCUGGACCCAUUGCCAAAAUCAGGGGAACUCCUUUUCCUGGGUGGGCCUUUUUUCUUUCCCAGUGAACCAUGAGGUGAAAACUUUAGGACUCUACGAACUGAGACCAGUCAAGGCUCCUUAUGGUUUUGUCUUCACUGCCCUUGAUUUUCAGUCCAAAGCCAUUUUCAAGGACAACUGGCCAUGGCCCCCACUGGCUCAGCGUUCUGCCUGACGGAGAGCUGCCUUCAGCAGCAGAUCUCAAUUGCCCACCUUUUGGAGGUGGACCAAGGAGUCUUGCCUGCAACCAAAUGAUAACCUCAAAGUGGACCAGGUGUUUUCUUUACCCUGUUUAUAACCUGGGGCGUAAAUGAUUGGCAGUGGAAGGUUAAGCCGUUCCUCCUGCGAUGAAUUGGGGCCGGUUAAAUGGACUGAUCUGUUUCUGUUCAUCCAUAGUAACGUCAUGCAGCCUCCCAGCAACAUAUUUGAAUAAGAGUUUUGUAAUCAUCACAUGUAAAAUCUUUCUGUUGGAAAAAGGCACCCAUAUACCUUGGUAGAAUAUAUUUGUUAAUUGCUAUUUGUUAGCUUCCUCUUUUCUUCAAAAUAGAGGGGAAAUGAUUACUUUGAUAAUGGGUAGAGGGGUUUCAGGCUUAAAAAGAAGAACUU